GAUGAACGCUGGCGGCGUGCCUAAUACAUGCAAGUCGAGCGAACGGACGAGAAGCUUGCUUCUCUGAUGUUAGCGGCGGACGGGUGAGUAACACGUGGAUACCCUACCUAUAAGACUGGUAUCACUUCGGGAAACCGGCGCUAAUACCGGAUAAUAUUUUGAACCGCAUGGUUCAAAAGUGAAAGACGGUCUUUCUGUCUCUUAUAGAUGGUUCCGCGCUGCAUUAGCUAGUUGGUAAGGUAACGGCUUAUCAAGGCAACGAUGCAUAGCCGACCUGAGAGGGUGAUCGGCCGCCCUGGAACUGAGACACGGUCCAGACUCCUACGGGAGGCAGCAGUAGGGAAUCGUCCGCAAUGGGCGAAAGCCUGACGGAGCAACGCGGCGUGAGUGAUGAAGGUCUUCGGAUCGUAAAACUCUGUUAUUAGGGAAGAACAUAUGUGUAAGUAACUGUGCACAUCUUGACGGUACCUAAUCAGAAAGCCACGGCUAACUACGUG
rnacentral:rRNA from 1 species